rnacentral:rRNA from 1 species
GUAGUUUUUUAAUUGAAAACUUGUAUGAAUGGUUCAACGAAAUAUUUUCUGUUUCAUAAAAAUUUAUAUAGAAAUUAAUUUUUUAGUUAAAAAGCUGAAAUAAAAUUAAAAGACGAGAAGACCCUAUAGAGUUUUAUAUAAAGUAUUUUAUAAUUUAUAUAUAAAUUUUAAAAUUUUAAUUUAUUUUUAUAUUUUGUUGGGGUGACAGUAAAAUUUUUUAAUCUUUUAUUAUUUUUUAACAUUGAUUUUUGAGUUAUUGAUCUAUUUUUAAUGAUUAAAAGAUUAAAUUACCUUAGGGAUAACAGCGUAAUUUUUUUGUAGAGUUCUUAUCGAUAAAAAAUUUUGC